AGCCGCGGUAAUUCCAGCUCCAAUAGCGUAUAUUAAAGUUGUUGCAGUUAAAAAGCUCGUAGUUGAAUUUCGGGAUUCUACCGUUGGUCAGGCUAACAAGUCUGUACUAGUGAGUAGAAUUCCUACCUUCUGGGGAACUAUCAUGUUAUUUAUUUAGCGUGGUGGGAAACCAGGACCUUUACCUUGAAAAAAUUAGAGUGUUCAAAGCAGGCUUACGUCUGAAUACAUUAGCAUGGAAUAAUAAAAUAGGACGGUGGUCCUGUUUUGUUGGUUUCUGAAUCACCGUAAUGAUUAAUAGGGAUAGUUGGG
rnacentral:rRNA from 1 species